rnacentral:rRNA from 1 species
GGCGCACGGGUGAGUAACACGUAUCCAACCUGCCCUUUACUCGGGGAUAGCCUUUCGAAAGAAAGAUUAAUACCCGAUGGCAUAAUGAUUCCGCAUGGUUUCAUUAUUAAAGGAUUCCGGUAAAGGAUGGGGAUGCGUUCCAUUAGGUUGUUGGUGGGGUAACGGCCCACCAAGCCUUCGAUGGAUAGGGGUUCUGAGAGGAAGGUCCCCCACAUUGGAACUGAGACACGGUCCAAACUCCUACGGGAGGCAGCAGUGAGGAAUAUUGGUCAAUGGGCGCUAGCCUGAACCAGCCAAGUAGCGUGAAGGAUGAAGGCUCUAUGGGUCGUAAACUUCUUUUAUAUAAGAAUAAAGUGCAGUAUGUAUACUGUUUUGUAUGUAUUAUAUGAAUAAGGAUCGGCUAACUCCGUGCCAGCAGCCGCGGUAAUACGGAGGAUCCGAGCGUUAUCCGGAUUUAUUGGGUUUAAAGGGAGCGUAGGUGGACUGGUAAGUCAGUUGUGAAAGUUUGCGGCUCAACCGUAAAAUUGCAGUUGAUACUGUCAGUCUUGAGUACAGUAGAGGUGGGCGGAAUUCGUGGUGUAGCGGUGAAAUGCUUAGAUAUCACGAAGAACUCCGAUUGCGAAGGCAGCUCACUGGACUGCAACUGACACUGAUGCUCGAAAGUGUGGGUAUCAAACAGGAUUAGAUACCCUGGUAGUCCACACAGUAAACGAUGAAUACUCGCUGUUUGCGAUAUACAGUAAG